AAUAUUGGACAAUGGGGGCAACCCUGAUCCAGCCAUGCCGCGUGUGUGAAGAAGGUCUUCGGAUUGUAAAGCACUUUAAGUUGGGAGGAAGGGCUUUAGGUUAAUACCCUGAAGUUUUGACGUUACCAACAGAAUAAGCACCGGCUAACUCUGUGCCAGCAGCCGCGGGAAUACAGAGGGUGCAAGCGUUAAUCGGAAUUACUGGGCGUAAAGCGCGCGUAGGUGGUUCAGUAAGAUGGGUGUGAAAUCCCCGGGCUUAACCUGGGAAUUGCGUUCGAUACUGCGCUGCUAGAGUCUGGGAGAGGGAAGGGGAAUUCCGGGUGUAGCGGUGAAAUGCGUAGAUAUAGGAAGGAACACCAGUGGCGAAGGCGACUACCUGGACUGAUACUGACACUGAGGUGCGAAAGCGUGGGGAGCAAACA
rnacentral:rRNA from 1 species